CCGUAUCUACUUGCUUGCAAAGCUACGCUAUUUAGAGACAAUUACGGAAAGCGCUCUACAAUGGUGUCUACAGGUUUACAUCAUGCUACGUCAGUGGUAUUUCCCAUCAUACACCGUGGUCUCCAGUGUAUUGUCGCUUCUGUCUUUAGCCUGGAGUAUCACGACACUCGAAAAAGAAAGAGCAACUGACGAAGCACGCGAUUUCAAGCCACUUUAUACAGCCUUGUUCCUGAUAUGGCAACUGUUUACACUCAUAUCAAGAUUAUUCGCU